AACGAACGCUGGCGGCAGGCUUAACACAUGCAAGUCGAGCGCCCAGCAAUGGGAGCGGCGGACGGGUGAGUAACACGUGGGAAUAUGCCUUUCGGUACGGAACAACUCAUGGAAACUUGAGCUAAUGCCGUAUACGCCCUUACGGGGCAAGAUUUAUGGCCGAAAGAUUGGCCCGCGUCUGAUUAGCUUGUUGGUGAGGUAACGGCUCACCAAGGCGACGAUCAGUAGCUGGUUUGAGAGAACGACCAGCCACACUGGGACUGAGACACGGCCCAGACUCCUACGGGAGGCAGCAGUGGGGAAUCUUGGACAAUGGGGGAAACCCUGAUCCAGCCAUGCCGCGUGAGUGAUGAAGGCCUUCGGGUUGUAAAACUCUUUCGGCGGGGACGAUAAUGACGGUACCCGCAGAAGAAGCUCCGGCUAACUUCGUGCCAGCAGCCGCGGUAAUAC
rnacentral:rRNA from 1 species